rnacentral:rRNA from 1 species
UACGUAGGCAGCGAGCGUUGUUCGGAAUUACUGGGCGUAAAGAGUGUGUAGGCGGUGCUCUAAGUUCGGUGUGAAAUCUCCUGCUUAACUGGGAGGUGCGCCGGAAACUGGAGUGCUUGAGCGUGGGAGAGGAAAGCGGAAUUCCUGGUGUAGCGGUGAAAUGCGUAGAUAUCGGGAGGAACACCAGUGGCGAAGGCGAUCACCUGGGGUUGUUCUGACGCUGAGGAGCGAAAGCUAGGGGAGCAAACGGG